rnacentral:snoRNA from 1 species
CUUUGUGGUGGUUUUCUUUCCGGUACAUUUGGUAAGUUUUCAAAUGGGCCCAACUCUGCCACAUAUAUUAUACCAGAGCUCGCAAAGGCUUGAGGACAGAGAUCUCUCUUAAGCCUUUCUGCAUCAGAGAUGGGCUCCCCCACGU